rnacentral:rRNA from 1 species
GACGAACCGUGCGAACGUUGUUCGGAUUCACUGGGCUUAAAGGGCGCGUAGGCGGCUUGCCAAGUCAGGGGUGAAAUCUUUCGGCUCAACCGGAAAAGUGCCUUUGAUACUGGCGAGCUAGAGGGAGGUAGGGGUGCGUGGAACUUCUGGUGGAGCGGUGAAAUGCGUAGAUAUCAGGAGGAACACCGGUGGUGUAGACGGCUUUCUGGACCGUAACUGACGCUGAGACACGAAAGCGUGGGUAGCAAACAGG